rnacentral:rRNA from 1 species
GUUAUAGGGUCAAGCGAACAAGUGCAUGUGGUGGAUGCCUUGGCGAUCACAGGCGAUGAAGGACGCGGUAGCCUGCGAAAAGCUACGGGGAGCUGGCAAACGAGCUUUGAUCCGUAGAUGUCCGAAUGGGGAAACCCACUCCUUAUGGAGUAUCCAUGGCUGAAUACAUAGGCCAUGUGAAGCGAACGCGGUGAACUGAAACAUCUAAGUAACCGCAGGAAAAGAAAUCAACCGAGAUUCCCAAAGUAGUGGCGAGCGAAAUGGGAUGAGCCUUGCACUCUUUAUUUGUAUUGUUAGCCGAACGCUCUGGAAAGUGCGGCCAUAGCAGGUGAUAGCCCUGUAGGCGAAAACAGUAUGAAAGAACUAGGUGUGCGACAAGUAGGGCGGGACACGUGAAAUCCUGUCUGAAGAUGGGGGGACCAUCCUCCAAGGCUAAAUACUCGUGAUCGACCGAUAGUGAACCAGUACCGUGAGGGAAAGGCGAAAAGAACCCCGGGAGGGGAGUGAAAUAGAUCCUGAAACCGCAUGCAUACAAACAGUCGGAGCCUCGUAAGGGGUGACGGCGUACCUUUUGUAUAAUGGGUCAGCGACUUACGUUCAGUAGCAAGCUUAACCGUAUAGGGCAGGCGUAGCGAAAGCGAGUCCGAAUAGGGCGUUCAGUUGCUGGGCGUAGACCCGAAACCAGGUGAUCUAUCCAUGGCCAGGAUGAAGGUGCGGUAACACGUACUGGAGGUCCGAACCCACUAACGUUGAAAAGUUAGGGGAUGAGCUGUGGAUAGGGGUGAAAGGCUAAACAAACCUGGAAAUAGCUGGUUCUCUCCGAAAACUAUUUAGGUAGUGCCUCGUGUCUCACCUUCGGGGGUAGAGCACUGUCAUGGUUGGGGGGUCUAUUGCAGAUUACCCCGCCAUAGCAAACUCCGAAUACCGAAGAGUGCAAUCACGGGAGACAGACAUCGGGUGCUAACGUCCGGUGUCAAGAGGGAAACAACCCAGACCGCCAGCUAAGGUCCCCAAAUAUGGCUAAGUGGGAAACGAAGUGGGAAGGCUAAAACAGUCAGGAGGUUGGCUUAGAAGCAGCCACCCUUUAAAGAAAGCGUAAUAGCUCACUGAUCGAGUCGUCCUGCGCGGAAGAUGUAACGGGGCUAAGCCAUAUACCGAAGCUGCGGAUGCGAGCUAGUCUCGCAUGGUAGGAGAGCGUUCCGUAAGCCUGCGAAGGUGCCUUGUAAAGGGUGCUGGAGGUAUCGGAAGUGCGAAUGCUGACAUGAGUAGCGAUAAAGGGGGUGAAAGGCCCCCUCGCCGUAAGCCCAAGGUUUCCUACGCAACGUUCAUCGGCGUAGGGUGAGUCGGCCCCUAAGGCGAGGCAGAAAUGCGUAGCUGAUGGGAAGCAGGUCAAUAUUCCUGCACCGUCGUUAGAUGCGAUGGGGGGACGGAUCGCGGAAGGUUGUCCGGGUGUUGGAAGUCCCGGUCGCUGCAUUGGAGAAGGCGCUUAGGCAAAUCCGGGCGCAGGAUUCAAGGGUGUGGCGCGAGCUCCCUCGGGAGCGAAGCAAUUGGAAGUGGUUCCAAGAAAAGCCUCUAAGCUUCAGUCUAACGAUGACCGUACCGCAAACCGACACAGGUGGGCGAGAUGAGUAUUCUAAGGCGCUUGAGAGAACUCGGGAGAAGGAACUCGGCAAAUUGGUACCGUAACUUCGGGAUAAGGUACGCCCUUGUAGCUUGACUGGCCUGCGCCAGGAGGGUGAAGGGGUUGCAAUAAACUGGUGGCUGCGACUGUUUAAUAAAAACACAGCACUCUGCAAACACGAAAGUGGACGUAUAGGGUGUGACGNAAGGCGCUUGAGAGAACUCGGGAGAAGGAACUCGGCAAAUUGGUACCGUAACUUCGGGAUAAGGUACGCCCUUGUAGCUUGACUGGCCUGCGCCAGGAGGGUGAAGGGGUUGCAAUAAACUGGUGGCUGCGACUGUUUAAUAAAAACACAGCACUCUGCAAACACGAAAGUGGACGUAUAGGGUGUGACGCCUGCCCGGUGCCGGAAGAUUAAAUGAUGGGGUGCAAGCUCUUGAUUGAAGUCCCGGUAAACGGCGGCCGUAACUAUAACGGUCCUAAGGUAGCGAAAUUCCUUGUCGGGUAAGUUCCGACCUGCACGAAUGGCGUAACGAUGGCCACACUGUCUCCUCCCGAGACUCAGCGAAGUUGAAGUGUUUGUGAUGAUGCAAUCUACCCGCGGCUAGACGGAAAGACCCCAUGAACCUUUACUGUAGCUUUGCAUUGGACUUUGAACCGAUCUGUGUAGGAUAGGUGGGAGGCUAUGAAACCGGAACGCCAGUUUCGGUGGAGCCGUCCUUGAAAUACCACCCUGGUUUGUUUGAGGUUCUAACCUUGGCCCGUGAUCCGGGUCGGGGACAGUGCAUGGUAGGCAGUUUGACUGGGGCGGUCUCCUCCCAAAGCGUAACGGAGGAGUACGAAGGUACGCUAGGUACGGUCGGAAAUCGUGCUGAUAGUGCAAUGGCAUAAGCGUGCUUAACUGCGAGACCGACAAGUCGAGCAGGUGCGAAAGCAGGUCAUAGUGAUCCGGUGGUUCUGUAUGGAAGGGCCAUCGCUCAACGGAUAAAAGGUACUCUGGGGAUAACAGGCUGAUACCGCCCAAGAGUUCAUAUCGACGGCGGUGUUUGGCACCUCGAUGUCGGCUCAUCUCAUCCUGGGGCUGUAGCCGGUCCCAAGGGUAUGGCUGUUCGCCAUUUAAAGAGGUACGUGAGCUGGGUUUAAAACGUCGUGAGACAGUUUGGUCCCUAUCUGCCGUGGGCGUUGGAUAUUUGAAGGGGGCUGCUCCUAGUACGAGAGGACCGGAGUGGACGAACCUCUGGUGUACCGGUUGUGACGCCAGUCGCAUCGCCGGGUAGCUAUGUUCGGAAGAGAUAACCGCUGAAAGCAUCUAAGCGGGAAACUCGCCUUAAGAUGAGAUAUCCCUGGAGGCUUGACCUCCUUGAAGGGUCGUUCGAGACCAGGACGUUGAUAGGUCGGGUGUGUAAGCGCAGUAAUGCGUUCAGCUAACCGAUACUAAUUGCCCGUAAGGCUUGAUCCUAUAACA